rnacentral:rRNA from 1 species
GACGAACGCUGGCGGCGUGCCUAAUACAUGCAAGUUGAGCGCUGAAGGUUGGUACUUGUACCAACUGGAUGAGCAGCGAACGGGUGAGUAACGCGUGGGGAAUCUGCCUUUGAGCGGGGGACAACAUUUGGAAACGAAUGCUAAUACCGCAUAAAAACUUUAAACACAAGUUUUAAGUUUGAAAGAUGCAAUUGCAUCACUCAAAGAUGAUCCCGCGUUGUAUUAGCUAGUUGGUGAGGUAAUGGCUCACCAAGGCGAUGAUACAUAGCCGACCUGAGAGGGUGAUCGGCCACAUUGGGACUGAGACACGGCCCAAACUCCUACGGGAGGCAGCAGUAGGGAAUCUUCGGCAAUGGACGAAAGUCUGACCGAGCAACGCCGCGUGAGUGAAGAAGGUUUUCGGAUCGUAAAACUCUGUUGGUAGAGAAGAACGUUGGUGAGAGUGGAAAGCUCAUCAAGUGACGGUAACUACCCAGAAAGGGACGGCUAACUACGU